CACAGCAUGUGCUUAUAGUCUUCAUCACAAAGAUCUUGCAUGGUUUUUGACUUCUUGUCCCAUGGAUUCCAUACAACUACGAAGGGGAAAUGAUAAUGGAAGUAUGACUAUUUACCGAGAAUAAUGAAAAAUGAACCAUAUGAUAUAUUUUGUCAACCUUCACAGCAAAGUUAAGAGGUCAGCAGCUGUAGCUUCAUAUAGUCAUAUGUAACAUUGAAGUGGUUUACUUACCUCUGAUUCAAACACGAUAGCAUCCCCCUGCUCUGUGAAUCUCUCUUUUCCCUUCAGGUUGUCAAAGUAGUCCAAUGUUUCCAGCCCUUCAAUGCGUACUUCACUGAGGAAUUUGACAGUUUCAAUUUAUCAAUGGGUAAACUCAAGUACAACUGUAGAGCCCUGUUCCACAGCAUCCACUAUCUUAGCAUGAGGAAUUGAGGACACAAUAUCCAAACAGGAGCCAGGAUAGUUUCAGGUUAAAAUAUUCUGGAAGGUGAAAAUGCUGAUAAAAGGAAGGAGGAAAAGGAAUUGAAAAGCAUACACACACCUUAUGUCAGAUACGGAGAAGUAUGUGUGAUACGCAAAUGUAAAUGAGAAAGGUCUUCCAUCAGUGUUGGUGUUUCUAAUUCGAGAAGUGAGAAUUAAAUCUCCUUUAGGUCCAAGAGCAACUCUUAACCGAAAUUCAAAUCUGUGGUAGUCAGUACAAAAAUAUAUGAGAAGCAGAAUCAAACAUUUGCAACUUCAAGAAAAGAAGAAAACAUGAUCUCGGGAUGGUUAAACACAAACCUGUGAGGCCAGAUCUUGAGAUCUUCUUCAGAAAGCUUCAGGAUGAGAUCAGCAAAAGUUUUAAUAGAAGUGUUUACUGGAAGAGGUGGAGGAUUGUCAUCAAUCAGCCAUAACCGGUUCCUUGCAAAUCCAUGUUUCUCUAAA